rnacentral:rRNA from 1 species
UACGGGGGGAGCAAGCGUUGUUCGGAUUUACUGGGCGUAAAGGGCGCGUAGGCGGCCAGCACAAGUCAGUUGUGAAAUCUCCGAGCUUAACUCGGAACGGUCAACUGAUACUGUGCGGCUAGAGUGCGGAAGGGGCAACUGGAAUUCUUGGUGUAGCGGUGAAAUGCGUAGAUAUCGGGAGGAACACCAGUGGCGAAGGCGGCGAUCUGGACCGGUUCGUGACGCUGAGGCGCGAAAGCGUGGGGAGCAAACAGG